rnacentral:rRNA from 1 species
CAGUAGCCACGGUAAUACGUAGAGUGCAAGCGUUAAUCGGAAUUACUGGGCGUAAAGCGUGCGCAGGCGGUUCUAUAAGACAGAUGUGAAAUCCCCGGGCUCAACCUGGGAACUGCAUUUGUGACUGUAGAGCUGGAGUGCGGCAGAGGGGGAUGGAAUUCCGCGUGUAGCAGUGAAAUGCGUAGAUAUGCGGAGGAACACCGAUGGCGAAGGCAAUCCCCUGGGCCUGCACUGACGCUCAUGCACGAAAGCGUGGGGAGCAAACAGGAUUAGAUACCCGGGUAGUCCCUGUCUCUUAUAC